GAUGAACGCUGGCGGCGUGCCUAAUACAUGCAAGUCGAGCGAACGGACGAGAAGCUUGCUUCUCUGAUGUUAGCGGCGGACGGGUGAGUAACACGUGGAUAACCUACCUAUAAGACUGGGAUAACUUCGGGAAACCGGAGCUAAUACCGGAUAAUAUUUUGAACCGCAUGGUUCAAAAGUGAAAGACGGUCUUGCUGUCACUUAUUGAUGGAUCCGCGCUGCAUUAGCUAGUUGGUAAGGUAACGGCUUACCAAGGCAACGAUGCAUAGCCGACCUGAGAGGGUGAUCGGCCACACUGGAACUGAGACACGGUCCAGACUCCUACGGGAGGCAGCAGUAGGGAAUCUUCCGCAAUGGGCGAAAGCCUGACGGAGCAACGCCGCGUGAGUGAUGAAGGUCUUCGGAUCGUAAAACUCUGUUAUUAGGGAAGAACAUAUGUGUAAGUAACUGUGCACAUCUUGACGGUACCUAAUCAGAAAGCCACGGCUAACUACGUGCCAGCAGCCGCGGUAAUACGUAGGUGGCAAGCGUUAUCCGGAAUUAUUGGGCGUAAAGCGCGCGUAGGCGGUUUUUUAAGUCUGAUGUGAAAGCCCACGGCUCAACCGUGGAGGGUCAUUGGAAACUGGAAAACUUGAGUGCAGAAGAGGAAAGUGGAAUUCCAUGUGUAGCGGUGAAAUGCGCAGAGAUAUGGAGGAACACCAGUGGCGAAGGCGACUUUCUGGUCUGUAACUGACGCUGAUGUGCGAAAGCGUGGGGAUCAAACAGGAUUAGAUACCCUGGUAGUCCACGCCGUAAACGAUGAGUGCUAAGUGUUAGGGGGUUUCCGCCCCUUAGUGCUGCAGCUAACGCAUUAAGCACUCCGCCUGGGGAGUACGACCGCAAGGUUGAAACUCAAAGGAAUUGACGGGGACCCGCACAAGCGGUGGAGCAUGUGGUUUAAUUCGAAGCAACGUGAAGAACCUUACCAAAUCUUGACAUCCUUUGACAACUCUAGAGAUAGAGCUUUCCCCUUCGGGGGACAAAGUGACAGGUGGUGCAUGGUUGUCGUCAGCUCGUGUCGUGAGAUGUUGGGUUAAGUCCCGCAACGAGCGCAACCCUUAAGCUUAGUUGCCAUCAUUAAGUUGGGCACUCUAAGUUGACUGCCGGUGACAAACCGGAGGAAGGUGGGGAUGACGUCAAAUCAUCAUGCCCCUUAUGAUUUGGGCUACACACGUGCUACAAUGGACAAUACAAAGGGCAGCGAAACCGUGAGGUCAAGCAAAUCCCAUAAAGUUGUUCUCAGUUCGGAUUGUAGUCUGCAACUCGACUACAUGAAGCUGGAAUCGCUAGUAAUCGUAGAUCAGCAUGCUACGGUGAAUACGUUCCCGGGUCC
rnacentral:rRNA from 1 species